CUCAAAAACACGUUCACAUAUCUUCCAGUUCCGAUGGAGAGGGUAGCUUAGAGAGCGCCUGCAGCAUGCUGAGACGACAUCGUGCAGACUGGUGAACGACUUAAGGGAACACACAACAGGUUGGGCUGGCUGCAAAAAUACAAUCAUCGGCAGAGGACUAGUAGUACUAGUUCUUAAACAUAUAUUAGCGAUAAUUUGAAUCUUUCAGGGUGUUGGCAUGCAAGGCACCCCAAACUUUUUUUAUUCUAGUGCUCAUGGUGUUUGUCCAGUUAAAGGCAAGUUGGAGUAAAUAAAGUAACUUAGUCUAACAGGUCCAGGAAAAGGGCUAGUAGUUCUGUGAGAAUCAAUCUUUUCUUACAGUGUUCUCGCCCUCAGUUGUCCUAUAGUUAUACGCAUAUGCAAACAUGAUGUCCACCAGCCCCAACAGUAGACUCUUCUGUUCACCCUCAUCUAGAAUGUCUAUUUUUUUUGGGUGUGAAGGAAACAUUUUAUAAUGAAGUACAGUGGAACCUGGAUUUUAGGAUAUGCCUCAGGAGAAAGAAAAAUCAUAAAAUCGAGGUAUUGUUGUAAAUAGGUCCUCAAUUUUACGAUAUUUAGGAUAAUCUAUUGAAAAUAUCAUUGUAGCGAGGUUGUGUUAAUAAUCAACUUUUACAAAAUAUUGUACCCGUACUCUGUGAAAGAGUGUUCACAGUUACUCUUUGUAGAAAUCUGUUUCGAGACCUGUCAAGUUAAAAAAUCGAUUAGCUGUACAGUAAGUAUCUGGUGUCUUGAGUUGUUUUCUCUCUGUUGAUAGAAAGAAUCAGUAAUAUUGAUUAAUCAAGGUUAAAAUUAAGCUCGGGAGAACAGAUUUGUAUUGUAAAAUCGAGAAUAUCGUUGUAUCCAAUAUUGUAAAAUAGGUAAUUUCUUAUACAUUUCACUGUAUUUCCGUUAGGAGAAAGGAACACCAUCGUAAAACCAAGGUUAACGUAAAAUCUAGUAUCGUAAAAUCCAGGUUACAAUGUAUAGGGUUUUAUGCCUAUAUGAAACUUUGCCCUAACUUAAAUUUGGAAAUCAAAGGAUACAUUCUUUGUUUGGCAAUCUUCUCAUUUUAUCUUUCUCCUUCUCUGUAAGUUGAACUGUUAAGUGAGACAAGACAAGUUAAUAAAUAUGUGGACAAAUGAAUAAAAAUGUGAAACUUACUUAUUGCUAAAAAACUAUAAAUAUCAGUACCUGUAUUUUCUGACUGGUUAUUAAUUUCUUCGUUCUCACUAUUAGAAUAAAAAAAAAAAAAACAUUAAACACAUUUAUUGCCACU